rnacentral:rRNA from 1 species
CACUAUCGUUAACUGAAUACAUAGGUUAACGAGGCGAACCGGGGGAACUGAAACAUCUAAGUACCCCGAGGAAAAGAAAUCAACCGAGAUUCCCCCAGUAGCGGCGAGCGAACGGGGAGCAGCCCAGAGUCUGAAUCAGCUUGUGUGUUAGUGGAACGGUCUGGAAAGUCCGACGGUACAGGGUGAUAGUCCCGUACACCAAAAUGCACAGGUUGUGAACUCGAAGAGUAGGGCGGGACACGUGGUAUCCUGUCUGAAUAUGGGGGGACCAUCCUCCAAGGCUAAAUACUCCUGACUGACCGAUAGUGAACCAGUACCGUGAGGGAAAGGCGAAAAGAACCCCGGCGAGGGGAGUGAAAAAGAACCUGAAACCGUGUACGUACAAGCAGUGGGAGCACCUUCGGGUGUGACUGCGUACCUUUUGUAUAAUGGGUCAGCGACUUAUAUUCUGUAGCAAGGUUAACCGUAUAGGGGAGCCGCAGGGAAACCGAGUCUUAACUGGGCGUUAAGUUGCAGGGUAUAGACCCGAAACCCGGUGAUCUAGCCAUGGGCAGGUUGAAGGUUGGGUAACACUAACUGGAGGACCGAACCGACUAAUGUUGAAAAAUUAGCGGAUGACUUGUGGCUGGGGGUGAAAGGCCAAUCAAACCGGGAGAUAGCUGGUUCUCCCCGAAAGCUAUUUAGGUAGCGCCUCGUGAAUUCAUCUUCGGGGGUAGAGCACUGUUUCGGCUAGGGGGUCAUCCCGACUUACCAACCCGAUGCAAACUACGAAUACCGAAGAAUGUUAUCACGGGAGACACACGGCGGGUGCUAACGUCCGUCGUGAAGAGGGAAACAACCCAGACCGCCAGCUAAGGUCCCAAAGUCAUGGUUAAGUGGGAAACGAUGUGGGAAGGCACAGACAGCCAGGAUGUUGGCUUAGAAGCAGCCAUCAUUUAAAGAAAGCGUAAUAGCUCACUGGUCGAGUCGGCCUGCGCGGAAGAUGUAACGGGGCUAAACCAUGCACCGAAGCUGCGGCAGCGACACUAUGUGUUGUUGGGUAGGGGAGCGUUCUGUAAGCCUGCGAAGGUGUGCUGUGAGGCAUGCUGGAGGUAUCAGAAGUGCGAAUGCUGACAUAAGUAACGAUAAAGCGGGUGAAAAGCCCGCUCGCCGGAAGACCAAGGGUUCCUGUCCAACGUUAAUCGGGGCAGGGUGAGUCGACCCCUAAGGCGAGGCCGAAAGGCGUAGUCGAUGGGAAACAGGUUAAUAUUCCUGUACUUGGUGUUACUGCGAAGGGGGGACGGAGAAGGCUAUGUUAGCCGGGCGACGGUUGUCCCGGUUUAAGCAUGUAGGCUGGUUAUCCAGGCAAAUCCGGAUAAUCAAGGCUGAGGUGUGAUGACGAGGCACUACGGUGCUGAAGUAACAAAUGCCCUGCUUCCAGGAAAAGCCUCUAAGCAUCAGGUAACAUCAAAUCGUACCCCAAACCGACACAGGUGGUCAGGUAGAGAAUACCAAGGCGCUUGAGAGAACUCGGGUGAAGGAACUAGGCAAAAUGGUGCCGUAACUUCGGGAGAAGGCACGCUGGUGUGUAGGUGAAGUCCCUGCGGAUGGAGCUGAGACCAGUCGAAGAUACCAGCUGGCUGCAACUGUUUAUUAAAAACACAGCACUGUGCAAACACGAAAGUGGACGUAUACGGUGUGACGCCUGCCCGGUGCCGGAAGGUUAAUUGAUGGGGUUAUCCGUAAGGAGAAGCUCUUGAUCGAAGCCCCGGUAAACGGCGGCCGUAACUAUAACGGUCCUAAGGUAGCGAAAUUCCUUGUCGGGUAAGUUCCGACCUGCACGAAUGGCGUAAUGAUGGCCAGGCUGUCUCCACCCGAGACUCAGUGAAAUUGAACUCGCUGUGAAGAUGCAGUGUACCCGCGGCAAGACGGAAAGACCCCGUGAACCUUUACUAUAGCUUGACACUGAACAUUGAGCCUUGAUGUGUAGGAUAGGUGGGAGGCUUUGAAGCGUGGACGCCAGUCUGCGUGGAGCCAACCUUGAAAUACCACCCUUUAAUGUUUGAUGUUCUAACGUUGGCCCCUGACCGGGGUUGCGGACAGUGUCUGGUGGGUAGUUUGACUGGGGCGGUCUCCUCCCAAAGCGUAACGGAGGAGCACGAAGGUUAGCUAAUCCUGGUCGGACAUCAGGAGGUUAGUGCAAUGGCAUAAGCUAGCUUGACUGCGAGCGUGACGGCGCGAGCAGGUGCGAAAGCAGGUCAUAGUGAUCCGGUGGUUCUGAAUGGAAGGGCCAUCGCUCAACGGAUAAAAGGUACUCCGGGGAUAACAGGCUGAUACCGCCCAAGAGUUCAUAUCGACGGCGGUGUUUGGCACCUCGAUGUCGGCUCAUCACAUCCUGGGGCUGAAGUAGGUCCCAAGGGUAUGGCUGUUCGCCAUUUAAAGUGGUACGCGAGCUGGGUUUAGAACGUCGUGAGACAGUUCGGUCCCUAUCUGCCGUGGGCGCUGGAGAAUUGAGGGGGGCUGCUCCUAGUACGAGAGGACCGGAGUGGACGCAUCACUGGUGUUCGGGUUGUCAUGCCAAUGGCACUGCCCGGUAGCUAAAUGCGGAAGAGAUAAGUGCUGAAAGCAUCUAAGCACGAAACUUGCCCCGAGAUGAGUUCUCCCUGAGACUUUAAGUCUCCUGAAGGAACGUUGAAGACGACGACGUUGAUAGGCCGGGUGUGUAAGCGCAGCGAUGCGUUGAGCUAACCGGUACUAAUGAACCGUGAGGCUUAACCUUACAACGCCGAAG